rnacentral:rRNA from 1 species
CCUACGGGAGGCAGCAGUGGGGAAUAUUGCACAAUGGGGGAAACCCUGAUGCAGCGACGCCGCGUGAGUGAAGAAGUAUCUCGGUACGUAAAGCUCUAUCAGCAGGGAAGAAAAUGACGGUACCUGACUAAGAAGCCCCGGCUAACUACGUGCCAGCAGCCGCGGUAAUACGUAGGGGGCAAGCGUUAUCCGGAUUUACUGGGUGUAAGGGAGCGGUGACGGCAGCACAAGUCUGGAGUUGAAUCCCGGGGAGUAAGCCCGGAACUGCUUUGGAAACUGUGCGGCUGGAGUGCAGGAGGGGUAAGCGGAAUUCCUAGUGUAGCGGUGAAAUGCGUAGAUAUUAGGAGGAACACCGGUGGCGAAGGCGGCUUACUGGACUGUAACUGACGUUGAGGCUCGAAAGCGUGGGGAGCAAACAGGAUUAGAUACCCCUGUAGUC